UAGGGAAUCUUCCGCAAUGGACGCAAGUCUGACGGAGCAACGCCGCGUGAGUGUAGAAGGAUUUCGGAUCGUAAAGCUCUGUUGUUAAGGAAGAACGAGUGUGAGAAUGGAAAGUUCAUGCUGUGACGGUACUUAACCAGAAAGGGACGGCUAACUACGUGCCAGCAGCCGCGGUAAUACGUAGGUCCCGAGCGUUGUCCGGAUUUAUUGGGCGUAAAGCGAGCGCAGGCGGUUAGAAAAGUCUGAAGUGAAAGGCAGUGGCUCAACCAUUGUAGGCUUUGGAAACUGUUUAACUUGAGUGCAGAAGGGGAGAGUGGAAUUCCAUGUGUAGCGGUGAAAUGCGUAGAUAUAUGGAGGAACACCGGUGGCGAAAGCGGCUCUCUGGUCUGUAACUGACGCUGAGGCUCGAAAGCGUGGGGAGCGAACAGG
rnacentral:rRNA from 1 species